UGGCACCUUCAGCCAGCUCUGCUGCCAGAGACACGGCUGGUGCUGGGGGUAAGGUCUGGCUGCCGCUUCUAACAGGGGGUUCUCGUCUCCAGGAUGUUCAGCUGGUUUGUCCAGGGGCUGGAGAAGGUGAUGCCACAGCCGGUGACCAGGGAGAAGCAGGACACUCAGGGAGUGGCCACAGCAACCCCGAGUCCUGUGGAACAAAGGGGCAAAGGGGCUUAGCGCCUCUGAAACAAAUGGAAAAUGAAGACCGUGGCCAACCAGCCCUUCCCACACCCAAAUGAGACCAACCUGAGGAGAAAGCACAGCUGGGGAGGC